CAGAGAGUGUUUCUACUCCCUAAACCCACUGUGAACAUACCUUUUUGUUGCCUCGGCGGACGUCCCGGAGGCCCGUUUCGACGGGAGCCGGACGCAGGCGCCGCCGGAGGACCCAGACUCUUGAUUUUCUACGAGAUUCUCUGAGUGGCGUAAGCAAAUAAAUCA
rnacentral:misc_RNA from 1 species